GGACCAAUACUAAAACCUUGGCUCAUCUUGAAGAGAAAUGAAGACACAAAAAUCAUGCUGAAUAGGAUUACACUGAGGCU